GAUCUUAUAUUCAAAAAAUGAUAUUAGACUGCAAUUCUGAGGGUGUAGAAUAAAUCUACUAAGGUUU
rnacentral:tRNA from 1 species